CACAGGUAGAUUCUAACUCAUGUGGGCAGGCAUAGACAUACAGCCAGUAACAGUAGCUACUGUGAAACAUCAAAAUUUUCCUCCACCACUUUUAACCAGGAAAUAGCUCUUGAUUAACAAGUGAGCCCUGAUAGAAAUAGAACAUCUGACCAUGGGAGCCAAGCUGCCAUUGAUGGUUGAUAUGUCUUUCGCUGACCCAUCAAUUGACCAACCAACAAGAUUCCAUCUUCAAGGAAGAAUACGAAGACUGGGUCUGAGCAGAUUGCCAUAUAGAGGAAAAGUUUCGGACUUGGAUGCAGUUGUUGAUGGAAACAUUUUGUGCUCCUCUUUGGGAAGAAGUGUCAGGGUGGAUUGCCGGGAAUACAGCCCCACUGAUCCCAUAUUCAGCUAAGAGUGGAACAAAGGAAGUUACCUCAGCAUUUUAGUGAUUACACUGUGGGUCCUGGUGCUCCAUAAUAGCUACAAUUCUUUCUAAGGCAGCUCCAAAAUAUAGCCUUCAAGGAUUAUCCACGACAUACAGCACUGUGGUCAAUAUCCACAGCCCCUGAGAAACGAGUCCCAGGAGACUAAGCAAAGACAAAUGGCCAGUGUGGUUCCUGCGCUCUAGGGCAUGCCAAACAUAACUUCAAGAAUUGUUCCAUAUAAAAUCUUUAAGCUCUUUGUGCAAAACCAUGCUUGUGAUGCCUCAAGUGAUGAACUUCCCCACUUCCAGCUUCUUCCAGCAGAUCUGUUCCAUCUAGUUCAUCAUUCAGGACCCAUUUAUGGAAUGAAAAGAAAAAAAAAAAAUCAACCAGAGGAGGCAAUGGUGAAGGCAUCACAAAGAAGUACUCCGCAUGUUUGUGUACAAGCCUUUAGAUAGGCAAGAAACACUGCUGAAGAAUAAGUCAGCUGCAGAUCCCACUGCACAGUUCUUCAAAAAUUGAUCUUCACUCACUGAAGCAGUGUGCCUGAGUUCUCAGCCAGAGUUCAGUCAUGGCUUCUGGAUGCAUAAGAAAGAGCUGGAACAAGGUCCUUGGUUUCGCCAGGAUCAUAGACCUACUGGGGUGGGGGGCAGGUUGUAUUUAUUUAUUUGAAAGCAAAAUCAAGAGAGCUCCUGUGCUGGAGCAGGGUGGAAGGGCAGAGAGAAGCAGACUCUCUGCUGAGCAGGGAGCAGGAGGCAGAGCUGAUCCCUGGACCCUGAGAUCAAGACCUGAACUGAAGGCAGACGCUUAACAGACUGAGCCACCCAGGGCUGAAGAAUCUGUGACUCAGAAAAAGAUAGUUCCUGGGGCCUUGGGUGGCUCAGUUGGCAUUCCACAGCCAAUAUUUGGACCUUGGGUCACAUGGAGUCCAUUUGGCCACAGAUGAUAACUAAAUAAGUUACAAAUGUGCAAUAUUAUAAAAUAAAGUAAAAUCACUGGCUGAGAGUCUUCAUCACAAGAGGUGAAAGAGUACUCAAAUGUCCUGAAUAUGUGAAAGCAUCAAUUCCUCCCAGAUGUCUUUCCAUUGUGCAGCUCAGCAGGUAUCUUUUUAAAGGUUCCUCAAUGUGGCCACUGAAAUCAGGGGAAUUGAAUGGAAGGUGAUAUUGAAAAACAGGAAGUCUAACUGUAGACCUCACAUUCAUCCAGAUCAAUGAUGACUCUUGUAAUUAAAAUAAAAUAUAUUAUUCCAC